UGUAUAUGUGUAUGUUCACCCUUUGUUAUACGGCCCUUAUUAGAAUUGUUUUUUAAGUAAAAUUGUUCUGAUAUAUAUUGCACAGAGAACUUUUCGGUGGCCAGUGGUCAUCUAGCAGAAGACUUGAUAGCAAAACAGUCAUUAUCACUGGAGCAAAUACUGGCAUUGGCAAAGAAACCACAAGAGACUUGGCAAAACGAGGGGCCAGGAUAAUCGUGGCUGGCAGAGACCUUGACAAAGCAGAGGUUUCACAGAAAAAGAUCAUUGAAGACUCAGGGAACCAAAACAUAGUGAUCAGGAAACUCAACUUAUCUGACAAGUCUAGUCAAUCAGAGAAUUUGCUGAGAGGAGAGAGCCCUUCAUAUUCUCAUUAAUAAUGCUGGGAUCAUGAUGUGCCCCUACUCUAAGACAGCAGAUGGGUUUGAGAUGCAGUUUGGUGUCAGCCACUUAGGUCACUUCCUGCUAACCUUCCUGCUGAUUGAUCUGCUGAAGAGAUCUGGCCCCUCAAGAAUCAUCAACCUCUGCUCCAUGGCACAUAGUUGGGGCACGAUAAGCCUUGAUGAUAUCAAUAGUGAGAGGAAUUAUCAUAGCAGGAGGGCAUAUGGUCAGAGUAAGUUGUCCAUCAUCCUCUUUACUCACUCCUUGGCCAAAAAACUCAAAGGUAAGUCUUUAAUAAAGUAGCAGAUACAUUUUUGGAAUAAAAGGAAAUUAAAGGUAAAGUUUGUAAUUUCUGCACCACUAGAGGUACCAAACAGUAUUGCAAAUGUACUCACUUGCCCCAUCUGCCAUUGGUUGGUCCAAAAGGAAGUCCUACCUUAAAGUCACGCCAUUGGUUGAGCCAAUGUUGUUGUGUCAUGGACAUACAAACAAUGCAUUAUUUUGAUAGUGCCACAGAGCCACAGGGAAAUCAACCCAUGCAGUUGACUGCACAUUGGGCUGGGAUAGGAGAAAGUAUUUAAAAAAAUAAAAAUACACACUUCACCUUUAAGUAGUAAUUGUGCAAAAGAACAUUUUUGGGAAACUUUUUGAUUAACAGAAAAAAAGAAGAUUCCUUAUAUGUUUGUUCUGUUAUCAGACACUGGUGAGACAGUAUAUGCAGUCCAUAUGCAGUCCAUCCAGGAAUUGUGCAAACAGAACUUAAAAGGCAUGUGACUUCUUGUCUUGUCGUGGAAAGUUGUCAGAGCUUUCACAAAGACUUCAGUGCAGGGAGCACAAACUACUAUCUACUGUGCAGUAGAACCACAAUUAGACACAGAACGUGGUGGUUACUACAGUAACUAUGGACCUUCACGAUGCACCAGAGCUGCUAGAGAUGAUGACAUGAAUGAGAAAAUCUGGGAGCUAAGCUGCAAGAUGCUGGGAAUAGUCUGGGACUGAAUGCAUUAAGAGGUUUUUUGUUUUAUUUGUUUGUUUCUCAUGGACAGUUAAUAUAAAGCAGAUAAACCUAAUUUAUUUUUUUACUUUACUUAAAAUCAUUUGGCUGACAGUAAGUUCAGUUUCUGACAGAGUUACAACAGUAGUCUUAUGCAUUUGUUUCAUUCUCUGCCAGUAAUUUUCUUUUAUGA